rnacentral:ncRNA from 1 species
CGAAGUAGGGAUGGCGCGUGAAGUGCUUCAGGAUGGGAAGUUGCCUGUUGACGAAGGGUCAAAGACCCGCGGUGCCAUACCCGCAUCCGUUG